GCUAUAAUGCAGUCGAGCGAGCCGAACUAAUUGAUUACCUUCGGGUAUGAAGUUAGGGAAGCGAGCGGCGGAUGGGUGAGUAACACGUGGGUAACCUACCCUAUAGUCUGGGAUACCACUUGGAAACAGGUGCUAAUACCGGAUAAAAGGAGAGAUCACAUGAUUUCUUUUUGAAAGGCGGCGUAAGCUGUCGCUAAAGGAUGGACCCGCGGUGCAUUAGCUAGUUGGUAAGGUAACGGCUUACCAAGGCAACGAUGCAUAGCCGAGUUGAGAGACUGAUCGGCCACAUUGGGACUGAGACACGGCCCAAACUCCUACGGGAGGCAGCAGUAGGGAAUCUUCCACAAUGGACGCAAGUCUGAUGGAGCAACGUCGCGUGAGUGAAGAAGGUUUUCGGAUCGUAAAGCUCUGUUGUUGGUGAAGAAAGAUAGUGAGAGUAACUGCUCAUUAUUUGCCGGUAAUCAACCAGAAAGUCACGGCUAACUACGUGCCAGCAGCCGCGGUAAUACGUAGGUGGCAAGCGUUGUCCGGAUUUAUUGGGCGUAAAGCGAGCGCAGGCGGAAAGAUAAGUCAGAUGUGAAAGCCCUCGGCUUAACCGAGGAAUAGCAUCGGAAACUGUCUUUCUUGAGUGCAGAAGAGGAGAGUGGAACUCCAUGUGUAGCGGUGGAAUGCGUAGAUAUAUGGAAGAACACCAGUGGCGAAGGCGGCUCUCUGGUCUGUAACUGACGCUGAGGCUCGAAA
rnacentral:rRNA from 1 species